GGGCUGGGGGCUGGGGGCAGAGUGAAGUGCUAUAAGGUGCUAUAAGUCUUGACUAUGUUUGUCUUUAUUCAUGAGCAGGAUAAGUAAUAGGGCUUGACUUGCUGGAGAGGUACUUGAACCUCAGUUAUGGAUAUGAGACUGCUUACAAGGCGGAAAAGAGCCCCAGGACAGGAAUGUCAGAAAUCUUGGGUCUGAUUUUAGCUGUCAGUCAACUAUUGGUGUAACCUAGCGGAGUCUCUUAACUUCCACAGUUUCUGGGUUUAAUGAAUGAGGGAAUUAAAAUCUGUAUUCCUCUAUUCAUUCUAAAUAAAUUGUAGUUUAGGUACAUGGCACAUCUAGGUUUACCGUGAAUGCAUUAGGGAUAUUUUUUGGAAACUAGUUCCUUUCUCUGUAAUUUACUCAAUAAGUGUGAUACCAAGUUUAUUAAGAUGAUGACAAAUGUCAUUUAAUACUGUACCUUGGAAGAAUUUAUACUUCUCACUUUCCAUAAGUAUUUGUAAUUUACUGUACUUCUCUUCCAAAAGAUUUAUUUUUCCUAAUAAUCUUAUUUCCCCCAGCUACCUCUUUUAAGAAUUAAAUAAAUAAUGACCUAAAAAUCAGGAAAAUCUAGAACUAAUUCAUGUCUCUGCCUUCAUCCUGCCCCAUGCUCAGAGCUGUAGUUCAAUUUUUUAAAAGUCUGAAAUAGGGCCAGGGAUUUAGCUCAGUGGUUUCACUGCCUGCUGCGCAAGCGCAAGGACCCACUUCAAUUCCCGAUGCAGUAAAAAAAUAAAGUCCGAAAUAAAAAUAUGAAUAGUGCUUUAAAAAGUACAAAGCAUUAAAAUGAUAAAAGUAAUGACUAAGAGAUACAAAUACCUAUAAAUACAAAUAUCUACUCUGUUAAUAUUUUAUUAUGGAUAUUAAUAAAUUAUUACUUAUUAACAUAUUAACAACAGAAUUUGCCUUGAGAAAUAAAACAGCCACUAGCUAAAUCUAACUUUAGGUAUGUUUAUGUUAAUUUGUUUUAGUAAAGUAGCACAAAGUGUAUUUCUGAAGCAGUUUUUGUAAUUAAAAGUCAUCUCUUGGUCAAUAUAUUAUACUUAGGUGUUUCAAACUUCAUCUCCCACUUUUUGAUUCCCAGAGUGAGUGAAUGUAGUCUGAUAUCUGUGUCAUAACUUCACACAAGGAUAAUUCAGAUAAUUCAGGAUAAUUCACUACUUAAUUAUGCCCUAUUACAAACUUAGAUAUCUCCCAUGAACGUUUCUGUGGCUUUAACAUUUUCCUCUUUUGGGUAUGUUUUCUAUAAUACAGUGCAGUGACCUCUUGAAAUCUAUAGAAUUUAGGUGUAGUCUGAUAAACUUUGGGAGUUUUUUCUCUGUGCUUCAGAAACCUACAGCAAUAUAUAAAGAAUGCAUAACUAUUUAUACACAUCUGCAACCCGUGUUUUGUUUGAUUGUAUUAUGUAUUAAAUGACCUUCAAAUAAUGUUGAAAAAUAGCCUUUAACUUAAGCCUUGAAUAGAUAUGCCCUUCAAAGAAAACAGUUCCUUAGAUAAUUAGACUUUAAUUUCUCACUGUAUACCACUUUGAUCUUGUAACAUUUUUAAAAACAGUUUUGGGGAUUUUUUUCGAGGCUCCCAAACAAGUUCUUGUUUCUCAAAAGCCGUAAUAUAUUCGUAAGUUAGUAAAUCCCAAAGAUACUAUUUUUAAACUCCCGUUGGAUUUAUUUAUUUAUUUAUUUUAGUGUGCUAAUUUAGGGCAUAAUUUUCUUUGCUGUGGGUCACAUGAUUCCUCCCGUCCUUCACACACGCACUUAAAAUUCUUACUUCCUGAUUGAGCCAUCAAGAUUACGUAAAAUGUAAAUCUGCCUAAAUAUUGAAGAGCAGGAAUUUUAAGGAGAAAAUGCUGUUUUCUUUUUCUGUUUCAUUAUGAAUCUGUAAGAAUCAAUGUAAGCGUGUACUUGCCUGUUUGUAUUUGCAGACGAGAAGCUGUUAGGGAAUUUUUUUCAUCUCUUCCCUUUCAGACUGAGUCAGACUUUGCUUUCAUUAUAAAAAAUAAUGUACCAACUAGAUAGACCAUGGGGUGGUACAGUUGCAGGACUGAAAUCAAAAUGGUUCCGAUUACUGAGAGAUCCAUGUACUUACUACUCCUUUCAUAUUCAGAAUGAAGAGUACAGCAGCUCUCAGAAGGUAAUGCUUUGAUAUUUUAGAUGUGUAAAUGCCAUUCACCCUUUCUGCUGUCUGUUAUAAAUGAAGGUAAUUUCCAGCAGGUAGGACGACACUAGUUUUAUCACAGAUCUUAUACUCCGUCACAUUUUUCUCAAAGCACUUUUGAAGUUGUCAUAGUAACAGCGUGAUGUUUAGAGGGUCUUUUCUGUAGCCUGACUCAAUUAAUUUUAUUAACUCUGGAUAUUUUUCUUUUCACUCAUUCAUGACAAGCAAAGACUGUAAAUUGCUCAAAUAUGUAUUUCAUGUUCCUUAUAUCUUGAUGACUCUAGUUUAAGGACUUGAUUUAUAAGUGGUUUCAGUAAAGGAACAAGAUUGUUAUCAAUUGGUAUGGAAUAGACCAAAUGAGAGUUCUUAAUUAUUCUAUAAAAUCUCGCUAUCAUUUUAGGACCAGGAUUUAGUUUUGUUUGAAGAGGGGAGUUAUGGAAGAUUACAGAUGUAAUUGUGACUUGAUGUCCAUGGUUAUACCUAUCCUUUACUGUGACAACUUUGAUGUAUUUAGAUUAUGAAUUGGAGAAGGCAGAAAUGUAUCAGACUUAUAGGAAGAGAAAUUACUUCUUUAAUAAUACAGUACUCACAUGUAGCUCCAAAAGCAGGUUCCAUAAAAGGAAAAAAAUAAUAAAUAUGGCUUUACCAAACUUAAGGCAGUAUUUUCUGAAACUCUAAAAUAUACUAAAAUAAAUUCUCCUCUAGGAAAGUUGGUGGGAAUUCUUUAUGGGCUGAAAGUAGGUUGUGCUCUUCUGUGAGGAAAGCUGUGUGGCAAGAAUUCUUGCCAAUAUGGCGAAUGGUGAACAAGGAAGCCCUUGGGCAAGAGAGGGUCAAAAGAAAGAACAGCCUGGACCCUAGGUCUGGGUAUGCUAGGACUUUAAAAAUAUCAGAUGCAUGAUCCUUUUGUUUUCCUGUGAAAGUGUUCAGAGCAAAGUGACACCCAAGUCUGUGAGUUUUGUGAGUUUAAUGCUAAUGCCACUGUCCCUGCCGUUCUGUCUGGUAUUUGUUCACCCAUGGGCAAUGCGAGAGAAUCGGGGCAGCAGCAUGUGGAGCCAACAGCAGUAAAGGUGCUAAUACACGCCAGUGAUGUCAGGAGUUAGGAGACAGUGGUUUCAAAACACUGCAGUAAACAAGGUCAAAGUGUCCCGUUUUGCUGGAAGAAGGUUUGUUUUUAUGAGCUGGACAGUACAUGGAUGAAGUAAUUUUUCAAAACAAAUUGCCCAUUUAUAUGUGUGUUGUUCUUUUUUUCUUUUCAGAUUUUAAAAAUAAUUAGCCAGAUGAGAUUUAGUAAUCAUUACAUUUUUAAGCAGAAUUAUAUUUGUUUUUCUUUUUUCUGUGUUUUUCAUAGAGGAAAUAAAAAUGCUUAUGACCUAAGACUUCCUAAAUGCUUUUAGAGAGAGCAAGAUAGGACCCAGUCCUUUCAAAUAAUGGCACGAAGCAGUCACAACUGGUAGUAAACUAUUCCUCUUGGUUGUUUUGUACCUUUGGGUCUUAUUUGGACAGCAUCUAAGUACAAGACAGUUAAUGGCACAGAAUACUGCUGACUGUGUGGGUUGUCUUAAUGCAUUUUCCAACCUUGAACCUGAGAAUGCCAGAGGCUUGAGUCUCUGGCUGUUUGUGGGAGCAGUUAUCUGCUGGCGGCAAGGUUCCCGGGGUAACAAGUGGGUGUCCUGGGAGUGUGUGUGUGCAGUAACAACAGCAGUGGUGCCACGUGGUGCCCUGAGGUCGCCUCAGUCUGCCCUGGGGAUUCCGGUCCUCAGAAGUGUCUCUGAGAUGAACUGUGAACUUGGGGCAUCUUGGGCAGCGCAGGCGCUAUGGAGUUCCACAGCGGACCUGGGUGUGAGCACACACGGCUUUUAAAGCGAAAGCAGGGCCUUGAGGAAGGAAUUGCCGUCAUCUUGUCUCAUGCCCAACCUGCUCACAGUGCUGGAAAGCAAACUCUUCAGGACCUGUAGGGCAGCAUAGCUUCUGGGAUUCUGUGCAUGUUCCAUCAGACGAAGGAGCAACAUGAUUUCUCUUGGGCUGAAGAUGCCAUCCUUUCCUGCUACAGGUUGAGCGUCCCUUAUUGGAAAUGCUUGGGACCAGAAGUGUUUCAGAUUCUGCAUUUUCUUGGAUUUUGGAAUAUCUGCAUAUGGGUAAUGAGCUAUCUUCGGGAUGAGACCAAAGUCCAAAUACAAAAUAAACUUAGAGUUCUCAUACACCUAUAAUAUAGCCUAAAUAUAAUUUUAUACAACUAGUGCACCUGAGUUUUGACUACAACUAGUCAUAUGAGAGUAAGUAUGGAAUUUUCCAUUUAUGCUGUCAUGUUAUUGCUCAGAAAGUUUCAGAUUCUGGAGAUUGGGAUUUUGGACCAUGAGAUACAGAUUUUAGCAGCACUAAAGCAGAGCCAGUAAGAGAGAGAAAAGUCAUCAGGAUUUCACAGGGCUUGAUGAAGGCUGGGAAGAAGUACCAGUAUCUUCCCUACUCUGUUCUGUCCAGUAUGUUGGCCAUCCAUUGCAGUGGGCUUUGAUUUUUUUUCCUAAGAGUAGAGCUUAGAACCCCAAUGAUACUGUGUUGCUAGUAAAUUGGCUGAAGGAUUUGUUGAUAGUGA
ensembl:lncRNA